GGCGGACGGGUGAGUAACGCGUAGGAAUCUACCUAAUGGUGGGGGAUAGCCCAGGGAAACUUGGAUUAAUACCGCAUAAGUCCUAAGGGAGAAAGCGGGGGAUCUUCGGACCUCGUGCCAUUAGAUGAGCCUGCGUAAGAUUAGCUAGUUGGUGAGGUAAGAGCUCACCAAGGCGACGAUCUUUAGCUGGUCUGAGAGGAUGAUCAGCCACACUGGGACUGAGACACGGCCCAGACUCCUACGGGAGGCAGCAGUGGGGAAUAUUGGACAAUGGGGGCAACCCUGAUCCAGCCAUGCCGCGUGUGUGAAGAAGGCCUUCGGGUUGUAAAGCACUUUCAGAUGUGAGGAAAGGUUACAGAUUAAUACUCUGUAGCUGUGACGUUAACAUCAGAAGAAGGACCGGCUAACUCCGUGCCAGCAGCCGCGGUAAUACGGAGGGUCCGAGCGUUAAUCGGAAUUACUGGGCGUAAAGCGCGC
rnacentral:rRNA from 1 species